AAGAAAACUACAUAACAGGAUAAAAAAAACCUGAACAAAAGGCAAUGGGCCUUGGUGACAGCCCAUCGGUGAUGGGGGGUGUACGGUUCGUUGUGUGCGAUGAAGAUGAACGAUUGGCGAAUUGAAGAGUGGUGGAGAUGGUGAAGAAUUGAAGUUGGGUUCGUUGGUGGUUACAGGUUUUGUUUGCAGUUCGUACUGAAGGAAGUUAGAGAAGGUUGAAGGGGAUGUUAUGGGUGAAGAAGAGGGUUUAGUUGAAGUUGUGGAGGAGGGAGAGUGAAGUUGAAAUGAGGGUCGAGAAAUUUCUGAGAGGGUGGAGGGUGAAAAAGAUGGAUUGAUCAUUGAAGUGAGGGUGAGGUUUUUUAGAAGUCGUGAAGAAUCCCCCUAAAUGUUGAGUUUGUUGUUCUGUUAUAAGGGUUCAGGAGGUGGUUAGAGAGUUGUUUCUCCACCUCCCCAUUCUGUUGGAAUAUGGAUUCGGUUAUAUUGAUUCUGUUAGAGGUUGAUUGGAAGGGUGCAACGGAUAAGGUAGAAUGGACAAGACCACCCAAAGUUCACGAAUCAACAUUCUUAUCUGAAGAAAGUUAAACUCUUGGAGGCUUUGGAUAUCUUGCUUGAUGGAGGAAAUUCGGCUAUGAAGCUUGGAGUUAAUCCAAGGGUUCACUUUCUGUCAUCAUCUUCUGUUAUGGUUGAAGUGAAAAAAAGGAUAUCAAAGGGAAUUCUUUUUUUUGCAGGUUUUUCAUGAAGGUUUUGAAUGGCUUGAUAGAAGUUAUGUUGAAAACAAAUGGUUUCGCGCUUUAGGUAAUGGUCUUGUAGUUUGAAAAUUAAUGCUCUGUUUAUGCUUGAAAGCGCUUAUGACACGACGUUGAAUUGAGGUAAAUCCAUGGCCUUGUUAGUUGUUUUGGACUGUUUGUGAAGAAUUACAUGUCAGCUCUUAUGCUAAGUCCUUUUCUGCAGGUGAAUGCUAUUGUUCGGCGAGGAGGUUGCAUUGGUUUUGUAACUUGGUUAUGCACACACGGUGAUGGUGGUUGGACAUGAAACUUGGGUUGACAACCUUAUUUGUAAUCUUGUAGCCUUGAUUUAUCUUGAUAUUGUUCUAAUGUAUUUGGAUAAAUUGGUGAUUGAAAGUUGAACUCGAUUUAGGUUUGUAAUUGAUUAUGAUAAUGAAUGUAAAUAUUGGAAAGUUAUGGACUAUUGUUCUGUGCAUGUAUAGAAAACAUAUUAGUUUAGAAAUGAAGGUGUGAUAAGGUUUUGGUUAUUGGUUAAAAGGCGGUUCUUUCCGGUUGAAGGAAAAUGAAGAGGUUAAAACAUUUGAAUUGAAUUUCAUGGUUUUUCCUAUUCAAAGCAUGUGGGGUGAAUGUAAUGAGACUUAGGCGCCUGUGCGUUUACCUCGACUUUUGUCACAGAACUUCCAUAUUUCAUAACAUGGAAGAUCAUGUCAUUCAGAUGAAUUAGAGCAAUGCCACUUCUAGAUAACAUAUUUUUGGGAGCAACAAGAUCAUGUACAUAAUACAUAGGGUUUUUGAGUUCAUCCACAUAAUACUGGGAAUUGUAAUGUUGCCAUGAUUGUACAUCUAGGGUGGAUAUAUCCCUCCAGCUCUACAGGCAUACUUGCUAACCAUUGGAAUAUUUGGAGUCCUAGCCUUCUAGGAAAUUCAGCAGGAUUCCAAUCGUAAAGCUUAAAAGAAAACCGACCAUUAGCAUUCCGGACCAUUAGUGUUGAGGACCCAAUAGCAACCUGCUCUUCUUCAUGAUCCAAGGCUUAGAAAGGUGAAUGAUCUAGAUGAAUAAAAUGGUCUUGGUUCAAAAUUGUGAUUCGGUUGACUUUGGUCAAAGUUGACCAAAAGGUCAAUUGUUGGCCAAAGUCAACACUUGGUAAAAUUCCUACUUUUUUUUAUAUUUUUUCAUAUAAUGGACAUUUUAUGACUUGU